CCUACGGGAGGCAGCAGUGGGGAAUUUUGGACAAUGGGCGAAAGCCUGAUCCAGCCAUUCCGCGUGAGUGAAGAAGGCCUUCGGGUUGUAAAGCUCUUUCGGCAGGAACGAAAUGGUUGCGGUUAAUAACCGCGACUUCUGACUUACCGAAGACUGCCGC
rnacentral:rRNA from 1 species